UGGGGAAUUUUGGACAAUGGGCGCAAGCCUGAUUCAGCCAUGCCGCGUGCGGGAAGAAGGCCUUCGGGUUGUAAACCGCUUUUGUCAGGGAAGAAAUCUUCUGAGUUAAUACCUCGGGAGGAUGACGGUACCUGAAGAAUAAGCACCGGCUAACUACGUGCCAGCAGCCGCGGUAAUACGUAGGGUGCAAGCGUUAAUCGGAAUUACUGGGCGUAAAGCGUGCGCAGGCGGUUUUGUAAGACAGAGGUGAAAUCCCCGGGCUCAACCUGGGAACUGCCUUUGUGACUGCAAGGCUUGAGUGCGGCAGAGGGGGAUGGAAUUCCGCGUGUAGCAGUGAAAUGCGUAGAUAUGCGGAGGAACACCGAUGGCGAAGGCAAUCCCCUGGGCCUGCACUGACGCUCAUGCACGAAAGCGUGGGGAGCAAAACAGGAUUAGAUACCCUGGUAGUCCACGCCCUAAACGAUGUCAACUGGUUGUUGGGAAGGUUCCUUCUCAGUAACGUAGCUAACGCGUGAAGUUGACCGCCUGGGGAGUACGGCCGCAAGGUUGAAA
rnacentral:rRNA from 1 species